rnacentral:piRNA from 1 species
UNGCCCAUCGACUAUUCCCGUCACGGUA